GACGAACGCUGGCGGCGUGCCUAAUACAUGCAAGUCGAACGAAGCUGUUUUAACUGGUGCUUGCACCGACUUAAACAACUGAGUGGCGAACGGGUGAGUAACACGUGGGUAACCUGCCCCAAAGCGGGGGAUAACAUUUGGAAACAGAUGCUAAUACCGCAUAACCGCAGAAACCACAUGGUUUCUGUGUCAAAGAUGGUUUCGGCUAUCACUUUGGGAUGGACCCGCGGCGUAUUAGCUAGUUGGUAAGGUAAUGGCUUACCAAGGCAAUGAUACGUAGCCGAACUGAGAGGUUGAUCGGCCACAUUGGGACUGAGACACGGCCCAAACUCCUACGGGAGGCAGCAGUAGGGAAUCUUCCACAAUGGACGAAAGUCUGAUGGAGCAACGCCGCGUGAGUGAAGAAGGUUUUCGGAUCGUAAAACUCUGUUGUCAGAGAAGAACGUGUGCGAGAGUAACUGCUCGUGCAGUGACGGUAUCUGGCCAGAAAGCCACGGCUAACUACGUGCCAGCAGCCGCAGUAA
rnacentral:rRNA from 1 species